UGAUGACUGUUCCUCCUAUUGCUUUGAGACCUGGCACUAGGAUUUUAGGUCAUCAUAAAUUGAAAUUUGAUUUUUUUCACUCAGAGAAUAUUAAGAUAAUGGGAUUGUCUUGUCUAUUCUCUGAAAUUUGCGGAAUCAGACAAUU
ensembl:snoRNA